AUACGGAGGGUGCAAGCGUUAAUCGGAAUUACUGGGCGUAAAGCGCGCGUAGGCGGUUUGAUAAGUCGGAUGUGAAAUCCCCGGGCUCAACCUGGGAAUUGCAUUCGAUACUGUCAGGCUAGAGUGUGGGAGAGGGAAGUGGAAUUUCCGGUGUAGCGGUGAAAUGCGUAGAUAUCGGAAGGAACACCAGUGGCGAAGGCGGCUUCCUGGACCACCACUGACGCUGAGGUGCGAAAGCGUGGGGAGCAAACAGGAUUAGAAACCCUAGUAGUCC
rnacentral:rRNA from 1 species